rfam:Megasphaera elsdenii strain DSM 20460 draft genome
GAAACCCUACUGUGUGCGUAAAUGGUCUCGAUGUUUUGAACCAACACUUUUUACAUUGGGAGUUCGGGCUCUAUAUCGUUAGGCAAUGCCUUCACUGGACUGUCGACCUUUAUAGGAGAACACCCACCUGCUUAGGCAGGCUCAAAACUCGGUUUAUAAACGGCAUGGUGGGGCUCUU